UAAAGGCAUCAGAAUGGUCGACUUUUACACAGAAUCCUAGCCACAUGGAAGCCUCCACUUUCGUCAUCCCCCACCCGAACAUUCCUCUAUUGGUGUCCUUAUGCCCUUACAGGAAAGAGAAGAUUCUAGUAAUGCACACAGCCUGCCAAGCUUCACGCGGCCGAACAAUAUGCUAAGGUCAUUUAACAGACGACAAUGACCCAAGAGGAAGGAAACUGUCAACACACUGUCUCAUGAAAAAAAAUUACCAUCUCUAGGCACAAUCGUCUCCA